CUUGGAGGUAUGGGGUAUGUGGUGUACAAGCUUGUUGCUACAAAUUUUUCAACUUUGUUCUUUUUUAUUUGAUCAAACUGAUGUGCUUGUUUGUUUAUGUCUCAUACAGAAGUGGCAGCAUAUCUAGAGGUUUUAGAGGUGAAUUCAGGCAAUUUCAAAUUGUUCCUCGUUUAUGUGAAGGUUCUCCAGUCAUGGCCAAUUAAUUUUCUAUUUUCAUAUCAAGAGAUGGAGGACAUAAUAAUUACUCAUCCGUUUUGGCUCCAGGUCAACAUGAAGGAAUAGGGUAGAAUUCUUCCUCUGUCAUCUCCAAUAAAAGAAGAUUGAAGGAUAUACAUUCUUAUUCCAACUGAUAAAAUGCCUCUUGUGUGCUUUUGCUGUUUGUACAAGAAAGUGGGUGAUUAGGGUAUAUCUUCGUGGGACUGGAAUCUUAUGGCCAGGAUUCCACAUAUCAUGAUCUAUUCCGAAGGGCAUGGACGAUAUAUGAUGUUGGUGAACACAGUAAAAGGAAAGGGCAAAAGUCAGCCUUCUUUUUACAUGGGCGCACCUGGAGAGACACUCUGUGCAAUAGUUUCAGCUUCUGCAUGGGUGGAGCCUCAUGGGAAAUGUACUGUUGCAUUUUCUUUAGCAUGGUCAUCUCAGAAAAUUAUGUUUUCAAAAGGAAUUUCAUAUCAUAGGUAAAUCUAUUGUAGUUCACAUUUCAAUCGCAUAGUUUUCUUUUGUGUCAGGUAUGCAGAAAAGAUGCACACUGCUUGUCAGCUGUAUUGUGCUUAGUCAUAUUUUUCUGCCUUUUCCAAGUGAUAGAAUGAUAAUUAUAGAAGUAUAACUGCAUAAUAAAAUGUGGGCAUAUUGUUUUACUUGAUCAUUAUUUAGAAUGAAAAGUUGCAUGAACUAUCUUUUACAUGUGUCUUGGUGUCUGUUAUCUUCUACAAGAGGUACACAAAGUUCUAUGGUACCUCUGAACUAGCAGCUAAAGAGUUGGUGCAUGAUUCCCUAACAAGUAUGUAUCUCUAUUAAUGCAUCUGAUAUUACUGAAUGAUUUUCUUGAUAAAUUAUAUCCUAAAAAAAAAAGGUUUUACAGUAGCUACGUGCUUAAGUUUCCUUAAACUAAAUUCUGGGCUGGCUUUAUCUUAAAAUUUGAACAGAUAAUAAGCAGUGGGAAGAAGAUAUUGAGAAAUGGCAAAGUCCCAUUAUUAAUGAUGACAUGCUUCCAUAAUGAUAAAUAGUGAUUUAUGAUUAUCCUAUUAUAACUUUCUUAAAAACAAUUAGCUAGCUUGUUAGCGUAGAGCAACAUUACUAAAGAAACCUUAAAAGUUUAAUGUUGCUCUUUUACAUUUGUAUGUGUUUCACAAUUCCAAGUGCACUGAGACAUUUAUGUGGUAAUGGAAACUGGAAAAUGUUGCUUGACGAGGCUGAUCCUUGUAUUCUUACCAAUAUAUAAAAAUUUGUAGGCCCCUGAUAUUUUCUGCUGGAUUUCAUUAAAUUAGUUUGAAGGGCCCAUCAAUUUCAGCAUUAAGCUGCCAUUUUCAUAUCGUGUUUGAUGGGAGCACUUUUAUAAGGCAUCUGCUUACUACUUUGUUGUUUAUUUGCAUGUAGAACUAAGCAACACAUAUAUCUGCGUCCUUCCAGGAUUUACAAUUUCAGAAGUCCUCUACAUUAAGCUCUUGCAAACUUAUGGGGUUCAGAUACAUCAUUCUAUUAGAGUCUUAUAUUGUCAUACAUUUUUAUUUUUAAACUCCAUAUAAGCCACUUCUUUCCUUUAUUUUAUUGGAUCAGCUGAGUCCUGACACCUAAAUUUACAUUUAUAUCCAUAUAUAUUAUAUUACAUGUCUGAAAUACCAAUUCAGUUUCUGUUUUUAAGUUGCUUAUAAACUAGAGCAAGUUAUUUCACUGAUCUAGUCAUUUGGGGCUUGUACUAGAGUUCUGGGUCUCUGUUCUCAUCUUUUCUCAAAUGAUGUUUUUGUUCUAAAUUGUUUUUCUAUCAAAAUCAAUGUGUAAACUUCCAUUUGAUGGCUGCAGGUACAAGUUUACAUUAUUUAAUGAGCUCUACUUCUUGGUUACCGGUGGAACAGUUUGGAAUGACAUUCUCUUGCAAUCCUGACUUCGUACUUUUAGUAUUCUGGUUUCUUAUUUGUUUUAGUGCUAUAUUAUCAUAUGUUUUUAUUAUUCUGUUAACAAGUAGCAUUAACUAUCACUUUCUGGUCUUGUAACUUUCUCCAGUAUAGAUACAAUCAAAAUAUGAUUUACGUAUGUUCUCAAAUUUGUUGUAACUUUUCUUUUGUCAUUUUCAUGGAAAUCUGUCUCCUCUAUUGUCUUUACAUUUUGAUUGUAUUCCUUGCAGAAAAAAGCAAGACCAGUGUUGGUUGCUAUCAAUCCAUUUAAGAAAGUUCCUCUGUAUGGAAAUGAAUAUAUAGACGCAUAUAAGCUUAAAACAAAUGACAACCCACAUGUGUAUGCCAUUACAGACACAACAAUCCGGGAAAUGAUAUGAGGUUCUUUACUCGUUCAAUAUGUAUAAGAUUAUUCUUUUCAGCACAUAAAUCCCACCUUGAGAAUUGUCAUUUGCUGUUAAAAGUUCUAAUGUGACUUACUUUUUUCCACAUGAAGUAAAUCAGUCUAUCAUCAUAAGGUUAGUGAACAAUUCCCUUCCAUUCUGUUAUAAACUUAUAAUGUUGCAGUUUCCAGUUUCUGAUUGUUUAUUUACAUAUUUUGAUUGUAAUUUUGUUGUCUUACAUGCUUUAUAUGUUUUACACACCUAGUACAGAAUAUACUUAGGUCCUUUGAUGUUUAAGUGAGAGAUUUAUAAGAAUUAAUGGGUUAUGUCAUGCUUGAAUGAUUUGGAUUUUUCAAAACUUAAAAAAAAAAAUCAUUAUUACUUUUUAUAUAUAAGAAUAUGUUGCAAUCUUGGUAAUUCUACAUAAUGAGUUUAAAUAAUAAAUCUCGUCUUAUUGUUUGUUUCUUUCACAUCUUUGAUGCAAUUUUGCUUGAAAAGGUAAUUGUUUUCCCCCUGAUGAUAAGGUGAGUGUACUUAACUACUUCAGAUAAUUAAUUUGGGUUUCCCUUAUAGUCUAGGGUGGUCCAAUGCACUGAUGGUGAAAGGUCAUAUCAUAUCUUUUAUCAGCUUUGUGUCGGGGCUCCUCUUACAGUUAGAGGUAACUAUUUAUUACCAAUUGUUAAUAUCUUAACCAUGUCUCAUGGGGUACUACUGUGUCAUAGUACAAAUUCUACAUGAUUAUGCUCCUAUUUCUUCAAAGAAUUUGUGCAAUAAAUUCAAACUUUAAGUAGCCUAUGCAAAUGUGAUGAUUCCAUCUUUUUCAUUUUUUAUGAUAAGUUGUAUCAGUAGGUGGAUCCAAACUUUUAUCCGAACCUUGGCUUCUAAAAGACUUGCCAAAAUUAAUGUGUCUUAAGGUUAAAACUUUGAGCAAUAUAAUUAGUUAUUUCCUUUAAAUUUAUUAGAGUUUCUCUUUUGCACUAGGACAAUUAGUUAGAUAUUGUGAUGA